GACGAACGCUGGCGGCGUGCUUAACACAUGCAAGUCGAACGGAAAGGCCCUGCUUUUGUGGGGUGCUCGAGUGGCGAACGGGUGAGUAACACGUGAGUAACCUGCCCUUGACUUUGGGAUAACUUCAAGAAACUGGGGCUAAUACCGGAUAGGAGCUCCUGCUGCAUGGUGGGGGUUGGAAAGUUUCGGCGGUUGGGGAUGGACUCGCGGCUUAUCAGCUUGUUGGUGGGGUAGUGGCUUACCAAGGCUUUGACGGGUAGCCGGCCUGAGAGGGUGACCGGCCACAUUGGGACUGAGAUACGGCCCAGACUCCUACGGGAGGCAGCAGUGGGGAAUAUUGCACAAUGGGCGGAAGCCUGAUGCAGUAACGCCGCGUGCGGGAUGACGGCCUUCGGGUUGUAAACCGCUUUCGCCUGUGACGAAGCGUGAGUGACGGUAAUGGGUAAAGAAGCACCGGCUAACUACGUG
rnacentral:rRNA from 1 species